rnacentral:rRNA from 1 species
GAUGAACGCUGGCGGCGUGCCUAAUACAUGCAAGUCGAGCGAACGGACGAGAAGCUUGCUUUUCUGAUGUUAGCGGCGGACGGGUGAGUAACACGUGGAUAACCUACCUAUAAGACUGGGAUAACUUCGGGAAACCGGAGCUAAUACCGGAUAAUAUUUUGAACCGCAUGGUUCAAAAGUGAAAGACGGUCUUGCUGUCACUUAUAGAUGGAUCCGCGCUGCAUUAGCUAGUUGGUAAGGUAACGGCUCACCAAGGCAACGAUGCAUAGCCGACCUGAGAGGGGGAUCGGCCACACUGGAACUGAGACACGGUCCAGACUCCUACGGGAGGCAGCAGUAGGGAAUCUUCCGCAAUGGGCGAAAGCCUGACGGAGCAACGCCGCGUGAGUGAUGAAGGUCUUCGGAUCGUAAAACUCUGUUAUUAGGGAAGAACAUAUGUGUAAGUAACUGUGCACAUUUUGACGGUACCUAAUCAGAAAGCCACGGCUAACUACGUG